UCCAAGCUUGAGUUUGAUCCUGGCUCAGGACGAACGCUGGCGGCAUGCUUAACACAUGCAAGUCGAGGGAUAGCAAUAUCACUGGCGGACGGGUGAGUAACACGUAGGUGAUCUGCCCCUAUCACAGACAUAACGUCGGGAAACCGGCGCUAAUAUCUGAUGAGGUCGAGAGAUCAAAGCCUUUGGGCGGAUAGGGAUGAGCCUGCGUCUGAUUAGCUAGUUGGUGAGGUAACGGCUCACCAAGGCCACGAUCAGUAGCUGGUCUGAGAGGACGAACAGCCACACUGGAACUGAGACACGGUCCAGACUCCUACGGGAGGCAGCAGUGAGGAAUAUUGGUCAAUGGGAGCAAUCCUGAACCAGCAAUGCCGCGUGUGGGAUGACGGGGCUCAGCCCUGUAAACCACUGUCGGACGGGACGAAAGGAGCCUUCAGGGCUCUGGGACGGUACCGUCAAAGGAAGGGUCGGCUAACUACGUGCCAGCAGCCGCGGUAAUACGUAGGACCCGAGCGUUGUCCGGAAUUACUGGGUAUAAAGGGUGCGCAGGCGGCCGUGUGCGUCAGAGGUGAAAUCUCCGGGCUUAACCCGGAGGGUGCCUUUGAUACGGCAUGGCUUGAGUUUAGUUGAAGUGGGCGGAAUGUAGCAUGUAGCGGUGAAGUGCAUAGAGAUGCUACAGAACACCGAUAGCGAAGGCAGCUCACUAAGUUAAGACUACGCUCUGCCC
rnacentral:rRNA from 1 species